rnacentral:rRNA from 1 species
AGAGUUUGAUCAUGGCUCAGGAUAAACGCUGGCGGCGUGCCUAACACAUGCAAGUCGAACGCCCUUCGCAAGAAGGGAGUGGCGGACGGGUGAGUAACACGUGGAUAACCUGCCCCGAGGUGAGGAAUACCGGCGAGAAAUCGCCGACAAGACCGCAUAGGCUCAGCAAUGAGCAAAGCAGCGUAAGCAGCGCCACGGGAUGGGUCCGCGUCCGAUUAGCUCGUUGGUAGGGUAAUGGCCUACCAAGGCGACGAUCGGUAGCUGGCCUGAGAGGACGGUCAGCCACACUGGGAUUGAGAACGGCCCAGACUCCUACGGGAGGCAGCAGUGAGGAAUUUUCGGCAAUGGGCGCAAGCCUGACCGAGCAACGCCGCGUGCAGGAAGAAGCUCUUCGGAGUGUAAACUGCUUUUACCAGGGACGAGCAAGGACAGUACCUGGUGAAUCAGCCCCGGCUAACUACGUGCCAGCAGCCGCGGUAAUACGUAGGGGGCAAGCGUUGUCCGGAAUUACUGGGCGUAAAGCGCACGCAGGCGGUCUGUCAAGUUCGAGAUAACAGUCACCAGCUUAACUGGCGAAGGGCCUCGAAAACUGAUGGACUUGAGAGCCAGAGAGGGACCUGGAAUUCCGGGUGGAGCAGUGAAAUGCGUAGAGAUCCGGAGGAAUACAAAAGGCGAAGGCAGGGUCCUGGCUGGUAUCUGA